rnacentral:rRNA from 1 species
CACGUGGGAAUGUACUUAUUGGUUCGGAACAACUCAGGGAAACUUGAGCUAAUACCGAAUGUGCCCGUAAGGGAAGAUUUAUCGCCAAUAAAUCAGCCCGCGUCCGAUUAGCUAGUUGGUGGGGUAAAGGCGUCACCAAGGCGACGAUCGGUAGCUGUUCUGAGAGGAAGAUCAGCCACACUGGGACUGAGACACGGCCCAGACUCCUACGGGAGGCAGCAGUUGGGAAUCUUGGACAAUGGGGGAAACCCUGAUCCAGCCAUGCCGCGUGAGUGAUGAAGGCCUUAGGGUUGUAAAACU